rnacentral:rRNA from 1 species
CCUACGGGUGACAGCAGUGAGGAAUAUUGGUCAAUGGACGCGAGCCUGAACCAGCCAAGUAGCGUGCAGGAUGACUGCCCUACGGGUUGUAAACUUCUUUUAUAAAGGAAUAAAGUGAGGCACGUGUGCCUUUUUGUGUAUACUUUAUGAGUAAGGAUCGUCUAACUCCGUGCCAGCGGCCGCGGUAAUACGGAGGAUCCGGGGGUUAUCCGGAUUUAUAGGGUUUAAAGGGAGCGUAAAUGGGUUCUUAAGUCAGUUGUGAAAGUGUGCGGCUCAACCGUAAAAUUGCAAUUGAUACUGGCAGCCUUGAGUACAGUUGAGGUAGGCGGAAUUCGUGGUGUAGCGGUGAAAUGCUUAGAUAUCACGAAGAACUCCGAUUGCGAAGGCAGCUUACUAAACUGCAACUGACAUUGAUGCUCGAAAGUGUGGGUAUCAAACAGGAUUAGAUACCCGAGUAGUC